UGAGAGUGGCUGAGGGUUGGUCUAUGGUGAUAGAUGGGAUGGGCUGAGAGUGGCUGAGGGUUGGUCUAUGGUGAUAGAUGGGAUGGGCUGAGAGUGGCUGAGGGUUGGUCUAUGGUGAUAGAUGGGAUGGGCUGAGAGUGGCUGAGGGUUGGUCUAUGGUGAUAGAUGGGAUGGGCUGAGAGUGGCUGGGGGUUUCUCUAUGGUGAUAGGUGGGAUGGGCUGAGUGUGGCUGAGGGUUGGUCUAUGGUGAUAGAUGGGAUGGGCUGAGAGUGGCUGAGGGUUGGUCUAUGGUGAUAGGUGGGAUGGGCUGAGUGUGGCUGAGGGUUGGUCUAUGGUGAUAGGUGGGAUGGGAUGAGAGUGGCUGAGGGUUGGUCUAUGGUGAUAGGUGGGAUGGGCUGAGAGUGGCUGAGGGUUGGUCUAUGGUGAUAGGUGGGAUGGGCUGAGAGUGGCUGAGGGUUGGUCUAUGGUGAUAAGUGGGAUGGGCUGAGAGUGGCUGAGGGUUGGUCUAUGGUGAUAGGUGGGAUGGGCUGAGUGUGGCUGAGGGUUGGUCUAUGGUGAUAGGUGGGAUGGGCUGAGAGUGGCUGAGGGUUGGUCUAUGGUGAUAGGUGGGAUGGGCUGAGAGUGGCUGAGGGUUGGUCUAUGGUGAUAGGUGGGAUGGGCUGAGUGUGGCUGAGGGUUGGUCUAUGGUGAUAGGUGGGAUGGGAUGAGAGUGGCUGAGGGUUGGUCUAUGGUGAUAGGUGGGAUGGGCUGAGAGUGGCUGAGGGUUGGUCUAUGGUGAUAAGUGGGAUGGGCUGAGAGUGGCUGAGGGUUGGUCUAUGGUGAUAGGUGGGAUGGGCUGAGUGUGGCUGAGGGUUGGUCUAUGGUGAUAGGUGGGAUGGGCUGAGAGUGGCUGAGGGUUGGUCUAUGGUGAUAGAUGGGAUGGGCUGAGUGUGGCUGAGGGUUGGUCUAUGGUGAUAGAUGGGAUGGGCUGAGUGUGGCUGAGGGUUGGUCUAUGGUGAUAGAUGGGAUGGGCUGAGUGUGGCUGAGGGUUUGUCUAUGGUGAUAGGUGGGAUGGGCUGAGAGUGGCUGAGGGUUGGUCUAUGGUGAUAGGUGGGAUGGGCUGAGUGUGGCUGAGGGUUGGUCUAUGGUGAUAGGUGGGAUGGGCUGAGAGUGGCUGAGGGUUGGUCUAUGGUGAUAGAUGGGAUGGGCUGAGUGUGGCUGAGGGUUGGUCUAUGGUGAUAGAUGGGAUGGGCUGAGUGUGGCUGAGGGUUGGUCUAUGGUGAUAGAUGGGAUGGGCUGAGUGUGGCUGAGGGUUUGUCUAUGGUGAUAGGUGGGAUGGGCUGAGAGUGGCUGAGGGUUGGUCUAUGGUGAUAGAUGGGAUGGGCUGAGUGUGGCUGAGGGUUGGUCUAUGGUGAUAGAUGGGAUGGGCUGAGUGUGGCUGAGGGUUGGUCUAUGGUGAUAGAUGGGAUGGGCUGAGUGUGGC